rfam:Capsicum annuum cultivar Zunla-1 chromosome 8, whole genome shotgun sequence
UAAUGAUGAUGAGGAAAAUUAUUGAGCAUACCCUUGAAUCUUUCCUGUGCUUGGUAAAGAUUUUCUCUAUCCCUCUGCCUGAAACUCAGAAUCUCACUUCUAAACGU